GAGGGUAUAGCUCAGUGGUAGAGUAUGUACUUAGCAUGCAUGAGGUCCUGGGUUCAAUAUUCAGUACCUCCA
rnacentral:tRNA from 1 species